rnacentral:rRNA from 1 species
CCUACGGGAGGCAGCAGUGGGGGAUAUUGCACAAUGGGGGAAACCCUGAUGCAGCGACGCCGCGUGGGCGAAGAAGUAUUUCGGUAUGUAAAGCCCUAUCAGCAGGGAAGAAGAAAUGACGGUACCUGAGUAAGAAGCACCGGCUAAAUACGUGCCAGCAGCCGCGGUAAUACGUAUGGUGCAAGCGUUAUCCGGAUUUAUUGGGUUUAAAGGGUGCGCAGGCGGAGGUGCAAGUCAGCGGUCAAAUUGCGGGGCUCAACCCCGUACUGCCGUUGAAACUGCAUCCCUUGAGUGCGCGAGAAGUAUGCGGAAUGCGUGGUGUAGCGGUGAAAUGCAUAGAUAUCACGCAGAACUCCGAUUGCGAAGGCAGCAUACCGGCGCGCAACUGACGCUCAUGCACGAAAGCGUGGGUAUCGAACAGGAUUAGAUACCCGAGUAGUC